rnacentral:rRNA from 1 species
GAUGAACGAUAGCGGCAGGCCUAAUACAUGCAAGUCGAACGGGAUCUGAGGGUAGCUUGCUACCCGAUUUGAGAGUGGCGCACGGGUGCGUAACGCGUGAGCAACCUACCCAUAUCAGGGGGAUAGCCCGAAGAAAUUCGGAUUAACACCGCAUAACAAUACGUUAACACAUGUUAAUGUAUUUAAAUAUUUAUAGGAUAUGGAUGGGCUCGCGUGACAUUAGCUAGUUGGUAAGGUAACGGCUUACCAAGGGGACGAUGUCUAGGGGCUCUGAGAGGAGAAUCCCCCAACCUAGUACUGAGACACGGACCAGACUCCUACGGGCGGCAGCAGUAAGGAAUAUUGGUCAAUGGGCGCAAGCCUGAACCAACCAUGCCGCGUGCAGGAUGACUGCCCUAUGGGUUGUAAACUGCUUUUGUUAGGGAAUAAACCUACUUAUGUAUAAGUAGCUGAAUGUACCUAAAGAAUAAGGAUCGGCUAACUCCGUGCCAGCCGCCGCAGUAA